rnacentral:tRNA from 1 species
UCCCUGGUGGUCCAAUGGCUAAGACUCCACACUCCCAAUGCAGGGGGUCUGGGUUCGAUCCCUGGUCAGGGAA